rnacentral:lncRNA from 1 species
UUACAGGCAUGAGCCACUGUGCCCGGCCAAAGAUUCCCCCUGUCUUUUUGACACUCUUCAGCUGUGCCCUCCCAGGGAAGACAUUAGCUCACUCUGCAGCCACUUGUGCCAUUCUCGUGCCCUCCUUGCACAAGGCCUUGUCGUAACUGCUUCACUCUCCUGGUCUGCCAGUGCAGGUAUCAGUGAUCCAAGAAGAUACAGGAAGAGGCUUGUGUGGGAGUCGCCUGGAGCCCUCCAUGACAUCAUGUGACCUUGAGGAUGGAUGUCACAUGCUGGAGGAAACAGAAGGCCGAAACCCUGAUGACUUCACAGAGCUGCCAAAACAGUUCCUGACUGUUUAUUCCGGGUCUUUAACAAAGUGAUGAAAAGAAAUCCUUGCAGUAUGAAAACAACUUUUCUAUUCCAUGGAGCCAAACCUCAUUAUAACAGAUAACGUGACCCUCAGCGAUAUCCCAAGUAUUUUCCUGUUCUCAUCUAUACUAUGGCAA